UACGUAGGGUGCGAGCGUUAUUCGGAAUUACUGGGCGUAAAGCGUGCGCAGGCGGUGAUGUAAGACAGGUGUGAAAUCCCCGGGCUUAACCUGGGAACUGCAUUUGUGACUGCAUCGCUGGAGUGCGGCAGAGGGGGGUGGAAUUCCGCGUGUAGCAGUGAAAUGCGUAGAUAUGCGGAGGAACACCGAUGGCGAAGGCAGUCCCCUGGGCCUGCACUGACGCUCAGGCACGAAAGCGUGGGGAGCAAACAGG
rnacentral:rRNA from 1 species